rnacentral:rRNA from 1 species
GACGAACGCUGGCGGCGUGCUUAACACAUGCAAGUCGAACGGAAAGGCCCUGCUUUUGUGGGGUGCUCGAGUGGCGAACGGGUGAGUAACACGUGAGUAACCUGCCCUUGACUUUGGGAUAACUUCAGGAAACUGGGGCUAAUACCGGAUAGGAGCUCCUGCUGCAUGGUGGGGGUUGGAAAGUUUCGGCGGUUGGGGAUGGACUCGCGGCUUAUCAGCUUGUUGGUGGGGUAGUGGCUUACCAAGGCUUUGACGGGUAGCCGGCCUGAGAGGGUGACCGGCCACAUUGGGACUGAGAUACGGCACAGACUCCUACGGGAGGCAGCAGUGGGGAAUAUUGCACAAUGGGCGGAAGCCUGAUGCAGCAACGCCGCGUGCGGGAUGACGGCCUUCGGGUUGUAAACCGCUUUCGCCUGUGACGAAGCGUGAGUGACGGUAAUGGGUAAAGAGGCACCGGCUAACUACG